rnacentral:rRNA from 1 species
UACAGAGGUCUCAAGCGUUGUUCGGAAUCACUGGGCGUAAAGGGUGCGUAGGCUGCGCGGAAAGUCGGAUGUGAAAUCCGGAGGCUCAACCUCCGAAAUGCAUUCGAUACUGCCGUGCUCGAGUUCUCAAGAGGGGUCUGGAAUUCUCGGUGUAGCAGUGAAAUGCGUAGAUAUCGAGAGGAACACUAGUGGCGAAGGCGAGACCCUGGGGAGAUACUGACGCUGAGGCACGAAGGCUAGGGUAGCAAACGGG